ensembl:snRNA U6 U6 spliceosomal RNA
GUGCUUGCUUUGACAGCCCAUAUACUAAAAAAUUGGAAUGAUACAGAGAACAUUAGCAUGGCCACUGUGCAAGAAUGACAUGCAAAUUCAUGAAGCAUUCCUUUA